GGCCGUCACAUCGCUAGAUUGUCUUCGACGAGUCGAGUUGUUUGGGAAUGCAGCUCAAAAUGGGUGGUAAAUGUCAUCUAAAGCUAAAUAUUGGCGAGAGACCGAUAGCGCACAAGUAGAGUGAUCGAAAGAUGAAAAGCACUUUGAAAAGAGAGUCAAAAAGUACGUGAAAUUGCUGAAAGGGAAGCGCUUGAGACCAGACUCGAACCGUGGCGAUCGCCCGCGCUUCUGCGCAGGUGUCACUUGCCACGGUUUGGGCCAGCAUCGGUUCUGGCGGCCGGAUAAAAGGUGGGGGAAUGUAGCUUCCUUCGGGGAGUGUUAAUUAGCCCNACGACCAGAAUGCGGCCAGCCGGGACCGAGGGAUAUCGCGCU
rnacentral:rRNA from 1 species